ACCUGGCUGGCUCAGUUGGUGGAGCGUGAGGCUCUUGAUCUUGGGGUUGUGGGUUCAAGCUCCACGUUGGGUA
rfam:Felis catus isolate Cinnamon breed Abyssinian chromosome C1, whole genome shotgun sequence.